GUUUUUUUUCGAUAGAAUAAAGUAUGAAUACUACUAUAAUAUUCAUAUUGGUAUUUGGGCGACUUUAUUAUAACUUGCAAGCAACAUAUAGUCUUUUUAUCCAUAAAAACGUCCAACAUCAGUUACACACAUUGUUUAGUUAUAAAGUUUACUUUAUAGCAACCUAAUAAUGCCAUCGUGAGCAUUAUAUCGUUAGUAUGCUGUAUCAUAAAAAUAGUGAGUCUGGUGCUUCCUGUUGCGCAAAUGUUGUAACAACCUAUAGGUUUAUCUGUGUCAUCAUUACGCUGCAUGAAUAGAUUUGGUCUGAAAAAAACUGUAUAUUAUAGAUUAUAGAUUCAUCAAAAUCAAUAUUGAAGGGAAAGUUUUAGCAAAUCAAAUUCAUUCAUAGAUGCUAUAUAGUGUUAUUACCACUUUUAAUGAAUAGAAUGUUUUUGCAACAUACCGAAGCUUCCUUUCCACCAUGAUCAACACUUUCAACAACUAGUCGCGCCAAAAUAAAACAAACGUUUUUAUCCAAUUCUUGCUCGAUGCGAGAUAAAACGCCUUCGCCACCGCUUCCUCUAAUGCAAUGGGCCUUUAUUUCCAUUACUUUAUAUUUGAUUUUGCAUCUCAGCAGCCACCCACAGGCACAAAAACACCGCCUGGUUCGGCUGCCUUGAUUAUUGUAAUGUGCUAACCAGCUUCUAGGGUACGUCUCUCACUGGUUCCGCUCAUGAAUUCACACAUUUUGGAUCAGAUUGUGGUCCUGAAUGGACUGAGCCGACCCGCCAAAGGAAUGAACUUCAUUUAAUCAUCCUCAAAGCCGAGAGAGCAAAGGGGAGGCCGGUUGGGACAGCCGUAUCCAUAGCAACAGAGGUUGAUCAGUUCUGUGGAUGCGAUGCGGAGCAUCAGUUACGUAAGGCGGUGGGUCUUGAAGGCAUCUCUGAUGUUGUGCUUAAGCUCCUUAGGGCCAAACCCUGUAUGUUGGCAGACCCCUGCAUAUUAAAACAAACAUAACAUAGAUAUCGUCAUAAUGCUCCUGUUUACAUGUAGGACAUCAAAUAGGGAAAGGAAGGUAAAUCUGCUUGUGAAGUGGUGCACAGAGCUAGCAGGCCUAAAAUAAACCGCACCAAAAAAAA
ensembl:lncRNA